AUGGCUGCCUUUUGUUGAACGAAUGUUGUCUUCCAACUAGAUUAUUACCUUUUUAAUAUGUAAUAUAUGAUAUACGUCUUACAAUAUCUGGACUAAAUAUACGUAUUGGAGAGUAGGGACUCUGUCUUCCAGGCUCUCAUCUAAGUAUUGCUCCUAGGCGUCGAAAAAAAAGAAAGUGUUGUCUUCCUCGCCAUGUGUAUUCCAAUGUCUGGAAUCAAAAUAUUAAACAAUCCUUGCUUUAAAGUUUUUGCACAAUUGGAUGAAAAAUAACUUCUGGAUCAAGAAGUGUUUCAUCGGAAUUUAUUUAGAGGGCAAUAUUUUGGAUAAGUUACUGAACUAAAGGAUCCAAAGGAAUAAAGAUUUGGAAAAAGUGAUUCAACCAAGUUUUG